rnacentral:tRNA from 1 species
GCUCCUGUAGUGUAGUCCGGCCAAUCUUUCACCAUAUCUAGAUGAAUGGGCUUGGCAUGCUAGGCUUUCACCCUGGUGACAACCGGGUUCGAAUCCCGGCAGGAGCA